rnacentral:ncRNA from 14 species
GAGGCAAAAUAACUGCAAAUAAUAUCAAAUCGAUAUGAUUGAAGAUGAUAUUGUAGGUACUGUACUGUAAUAUUUUAUUACUGUAGACAAGAUUAUUAUUACAAGAAUGAGGUUGCGAUGCUUCAUAUCUUAUCAAAAUUUAUGGAAGGGGGUAUAGCUCAGUUGGUAGAGCGCGUGCUUAGCAUGCACGAGGUCUGGGGUUCGAUUCCCCAUUCCUCCAC